GACGAACGCUGGCGGCGUGCUUAACACAUGCAAGUCGAACGGAAAGGCCCUGCUUUUGUGGGGUGCUCGAGUGGCGAACGGGUGAGUAACACGUGAGUAACCUGCCCUUGACUUUGGGAUAACUUCAGGAAACUGGGGCUAAUACCGGAUAGGAGCUCCUGCUGCAUGGUGGGGGUUGGAAAGUUUCGGCGGUUGGGGAUGGACUCGCGGCUUAUCAGCUUGUUGGUGGGGUAGUGGCUUACCAAGGCUUUGACGGGUAGCCGGCCUGAGAGGGUGACCGGCCACAUUGGGACUGAGAUACGGCCCAGACGCCUACGGGAGGCAGCAGUGGGGAAUAUUGCACAAUGGGCGGAAGCCUGAUGCAGCAACGCCGCGUGCGGGAUGACGGCCUUCGGGUUGUAAACCGCUUUCGCCUGUGACGAAGCGUGAGUGACGGUAAUGGGUAGAGAAGCACCGGCUAACUACGUG
rnacentral:rRNA from 1 species